AUACGGACAUUCCUUAAAUAUGAGGUGUAUUUUUAAAGAAAUAUAUUAAUUUGACAGAAGAAUAAAUGGACGGUGCUCUUAUUGGUGGCAUUGUUGGCAUUGGCUGCCGCGAGACCUCAGGAGUUCGACGAUGACGAGGACGGCUCUAGUGAUAAAAAAGAUGACGUGGCUCGCGUACAAAUCAAAGUUUACCGUGGACCUACAAAGCAUGAUGGAUAUGCUCCGUGGGGCUUCUGGGUCAAGCAGCCUUCCGACGAGGAGUGAAAGUCGAAGAUAAUCGUUAUUUCUUUACGUCGUCGAAAAUAGAUGGCGCUAGAUUAAAUUUUAUUAGAAAAACCAAAGAUGUCUUAAUCGCGAUAGUGAUCAUAUUAUUAAAUAAAUAGUUUUUAGUUUUAAUUCAGUAUCAUUUUUAAUUGUUUUAUAUUGCAUCUUAGCACCUAACUUAGAAAACCCUUAGUACUAUUAUGUGUAUUAAAUGUUGAGGGUUUUGUAUUUUGACAUAAUUAUUAAUAUGGUUUAGUGCAGACUUUUCACGUCUCCUACAAAUCAAAUCAAA